rnacentral:tRNA from 1 species
GGUAAAAUGGCUGAGAUAUAGGCGAUAAAUUGUAAAUUUAUUUAGGAGAUUAUUCUCUUUUAUCA